rnacentral:lncRNA from 1 species
UCCGCCGUUCCUCCCUCGAUCUUGAGUGUUUCCUCUAGAUCUUUCAUGGUUUUAACAAGUUUAUAACUUUGUUUUGAAGAUUUGUGGGUUUUGAGCAAGUUUUGAGUGCUUGGAGGUUCAAAGAGCUUAAUCUCUCCAUCUCCAAGCUAGGAUCGCUUUCCUCUCGUUUCUUCAAGAGGUAAGGGUCGAUCUUGAACCCUUUUUAUGUUUUAAACAAGUUUUAAGUAAGAUCUAUGGGUAGAAAUGCAUGUU